GACGAACGCUGGCGGCGUGCUUAACACAUGCAAGUCGAACGGAAAGGCCCUGCUUUUGUGGGGUGCUCGAGUGGCGAACGGGUGAGUAACACGUGAGUAACCUGCCCUUGACUUUGGGAUAACUUCAGGAAACUGGGGCUAAUACCGGAUAGGAGCUCCUGCUGCAUGGUGGGGGUUGGAAAGUUUCGGCGGUUGGGGUUGGACUCGCGGCUUAUCAGCUUGUUGGUGGGGUAGUGGCUUACCAAGGCUUUGACGGGUAGCCGGCCUGAGAGGGUGACCGGCCACAUUGGGACUGAGAUACGGGCCAGACUCCUACGGGCGGCAGCAGUGGGGAAUAUUGCACAAUGGGCGGAAGCCUGAUGCAGCAACGCCGCGUGCGGGAGGACGGCCUUCGGGUUGUAAACCGCUUUCGCCUGUGACGAAGCGUGAGUGACGGUAAUGGGUAAAGAAGCACCGGCUAACUACGUG
rnacentral:rRNA from 1 species